UACGUAGGGAACGAGCGUUGUCCGGAUUCAUUGGGCGUAAAGAGCUCGUAGGCGGCUUGGUAAGUCGGAUGUGAAACCUCCAGGCUCAACCUGGAGUCGCCAUCCGAUACUGCCAUGGCUAGAGUCCGGUAGGGGCCCACGGAAUUCCUGGUGUAGCAGUGAAAUGCGUAGAGAUGCGGAGGAACACCGAUGGCGAAGGCAGCCCCCUGGGCUGACACUGACGCUCAGGCACGAAAGCGUGGGGAGCAAACAGG
rnacentral:rRNA from 1 species